rnacentral:rRNA from 1 species
UGGGGAAUAUUGGACAAUGGACCGAGAGUCUGAUCCAGCAAUUCUGUGUGCACGAUGAAGUUUUUCGGAAUGUAAAGUGCUUUCAGUUGGGAAGAAAGAAAUGACGGUACCAACAGAAGAAGUGACGGCUAAAUACGUGCCAGCAGCCGCGGUAAUACGUAUGUCACGAGCGUUAUCCGGAUUUAUUGGGCGUAAAGCGCGUCUAGGUGGUUAUGUAAGUCUGAUGUGAAAAUGCAGGGCUCAACUCUGUAUUGCGUUGGAAACUGUAUAACUAGAGUACUGGAGAGGUGAGCGGAACUACAAGUGUAGAGGUGAAAUUCGUAGAUAUUUGUAGGAAUGCCGAUGGGGAAGCCAGCUUACUGGACAGAUACUGACGCUAAAGCGCGAAAGCGUGGGUAGCAAACAGG